rnacentral:rRNA from 1 species
CCUACGGGUGGCAGCAGUGGGGAAUAUUGCGCAAUGGGCGAAAGCCUGACGCAGCGACGCCGCGUGAGUGAUGAAGGUCUUCGGAUCGUAAACCUCUGUCAGCAGGGAAGAACGGUCACUGUGCUAAUCAGCAGUGAAUUGACGGUACCUGCAAAGGAAGCACCGGCUAACUCCGUGCCAGCAGCCGCGGUAAUACGGAGGGUGCGAGCGUUAAUCGGAAUUACUGGGCGUAAAGCGCUCGUAGGCGGUAUGUCAAGUCAAGGGUGAAAUCCCCGCGCUCAACGUGGGAACUGCCUUUGAAACUGGCAAACUGGAGUGUGGGAGAGGAUAGUGGAAUUCCAGGUGUAGGAGUGAAAUGCGUAGAUAUCUGGAGGAACAUCAGUGGCGAAGGCGACUAUCUGGCACAUAACUGACGCUGAGGAGCGAAAGCGUGGGUAGCAAACAGGAUUAGAUACCCGUGUAGUC